AAUCCAUAGGUUAAUGAGGCGAACCGGGGGAACUGAAACAUCUAAGUACCCCGAGGAAAAGAAAUCAACCGAGAUUCCCCCAGUAGCGGCGAGCGAACGGGGAGGAGCCCAGAGCCUGAAUCAGCAUGUGUGUUAGUGGAAGCGUCUGGAAAGGCGCGCGAUACAGGGUGACAGCCCCGUACACAAAAGCGCAUGUGCUGUGAGCUCGAUGAGUAGGGCGGGACACGUGGUAUCCUGUCUGAAUAUGGGGGGACCAUCCUCCAAGGCUAAAUACUCCUGACUGACCGAUAGUGAACCAGUACCGUGAGGGAAAGGCGAAAAGAACCCCGGCGAGGGGAGUGAAAAAGAACCUGAAACCGUGUACGUACAAGCAGUGGGAGCACAGGUUUACCUGUGUGACUGCGUACCUUUUGUAUAAUGGGUCAGCGACUUAUAUUCUGUAGCAAGGUUAACCGUAUAGGGGAG
rnacentral:rRNA from 1 species